rnacentral:rRNA from 1 species
CCUACGGGAGGCUGCAGUGGGGAAUAUUGGGCAAUGGGCGCAAGCCUGACCCAGCAACGCCGCGUGAAGGAAGAAGGCUUUCGGGUUGUAAACUUCUUUUCUCAGGGACGAAGAAAGUGACGGUACCUGAGGAAUAAGCCACGGCUAACUACGGGCCAGCAGCCGCGGUGAUACGUAGGUCGAAAGCGUUAUCCGGAUUUCUUGGGUGUAAAGGGCGUGUAGGCGGGAGCGCAAGUCAGAUGUGAAAAUUCAGGGCUCAACCCUGAGCCUGCAUUUGAAACUGUGUUUCUUGAGUGCGGUGGAGGCAAUCGGAAUGCGGGGUGUAGCGGUGAAAUGCGUAGAUAUACGGAGGAACACCAGUGGCGAAGGCGGAUUGCUGGACAGUAACUGACGCUGAGGCGCGAAAGCGUGGGGAGCAAACAGGAUUAGAUACCCUAGUAGUC